rfam:Fluviicola taffensis DSM 16823, complete genome.
GAUUAUCGAAGGAAAGCCUUAAUUCAUAAUC